rnacentral:rRNA from 1 species
GCUAAUACCGCAUANCUUUUUGAACCGCAUGGUUCUUAACGAAAGACGGGCUUCGGCUGUCGCUCUUAGAUGAUCCCGCGGCGUAUUAGUUAGUUGGUGGGGUAAAAGGCCUACCAAGACCAUGAUACGUAGCCGACCUGAGAGGGUGAUCGGCCACACUGGGACUGAGACACGGCCCAGACUCCUACGGGAGGCAGCAGUGGGGGAUAUUGCGCAAUGGGGGCAACCCUGACGCAGCAACGCCGCGUGAAGGAUGAAGGUUUUCGGAUUGUAAACUUCUUUAUUAAGGACGAAAAAUGACGGUACUUAAUGAAUAAGCUCCGGCUAACUACGUG